UACGUAGGGUGCAAGCGUUAAUCGGAAUUACUGGGCGUAAAGCGUGCGCAGGCGGUUUUGUAAGUCUGUCGUGAAAUCCCCGGGCUCAACCUGGGAAUUGCGAUGGAGACUGCAAGGCUAGAAUCUGGCAGAGGGGGGUAGAAUUCCACGUGUAGCAGUGAAAUGCGUAGAGAUGUGGAGGAACACCGAUGGCGAAGGCAGCCCCCUGGGUCAAGAUUGACGCUCAUGCACGAAAGGCGUGGGGGAGCAAACAGG
rnacentral:rRNA from 1 species